rnacentral:rRNA from 1 species
GAAACUAACAAGGAUUCCCCUAGUAACGGCGAGUGAAGUGGGAAAAGCUCAACUUUGAAAUCUGGUACUUUCAGUAUCCGAAUUGUAGUCUCAAGAAGUGUUUUCUGUGCCGGUCCAUGUAUGAGUCUGUUGGAACACAGCGUCAUAUAGGGUGACAACCCCGUUCAUGACAUGGAUCCCGGUGCUUUGUGAUACACUCUCGAAGAGUCGAGUUGUUUGGGAAUGCAGCUCAAAUUGGGUGGUAAAUUCCAUCUAAAGCUAAAUAUUGGCGAGAGACCGAUAGCAAACAAGUACCGUGAGGGAAAGAUGAAAAGCACUUUGGAAAGAGAGUUAACAGUACGUGAAAUUGUUGAAAGGGAAACGAUUGAAGUCAGACGUGCGUGAUGCGGUUCAGCUCUAGUUCGCUAGAGUGUACUCCGUAUCUUUGCAGGCCAACAUCGGUUUUGUUAGUCGGAUAAAGGUUUGAGAAAUGUGGCACCUUCGGGUGUGUUAUAGUCUCAGACUGAAUACGAUUGAUGGGACCGAGGAACGCAGCGCGCCGCAAGGCAAAGGUUCCGACCUUUUCGCGCUUAGGAUGUUGGUGAAAUGGCUUUAAACGAC